UGGGGCAUAUUGCACAAUGGGCGCAAGCCUGAUGCAGCCAUGCCGCGUGUAUGAAGAAGGCCUUCGGGUUGUAAAGUACUUUCAGUCGGGAGGAAGGUGGUAAGGUUAAUAACCUUAUCAAUUGACGUUACCGACAGAAGAAGCACCGGCUAACUCCGUGCCAGCAGCCGCGGUAAUACGGAGGGUGCAAGCGUUAAUCGGAAUUACUGGGCGUAAAGCGCACGCAGGCGGUUGAUUGAGUCAGAUGUGAAAUCCCCGGGCUUAACCCGGGAAUUGCAUCUGAUACUGGUCAGCUAGAGUCUUGGAGAGGGGGGUAGAAUUCCAUGUGUAGCGGUGAAAUGCGUAGAGAUGUGGAGGAAUACCGGUGGCGAAGGCGGCCCCCUGGACAAAGACUGACGCUCAGGUGCGAAAGCGUGGGGAGCAAACAGG
rnacentral:rRNA from 1 species